AGGGGAUGAGCUGUGGGUAGGGGUGAAAGGCCAAUCAAACUGGGAAAUAGCUGGUUCUCCGCGAAAGAUAUUUAGGUAUCGCCUCGGAUGAAUGCCUCAGGGGGUAGAGCACUGGAUGGGCUAGGGGGACUUACCGUCUUACCAAACCCAACCAAACUCCGAAUACCUGAGAGUACUAUCCGGGAGUCACACGGCGGGUGCUAACGUCCGUCGUGGAGAGGGAAACAACCCGGACCUACAGCUAAGGCCCCUAAUUCGUGGCUAAGUGGGAAAGGAUGUGGAAAUCCCAAAACAACCAGGAGGUUGG
rnacentral:rRNA from 1 species